ensembl:lncRNA
AUCCAUAGCCAAAACCGAAUGCAUGGAGGAAACCCCAAAAGAUAUGAAUUUCCUUUCUCAGGCUAUCUUGAUCGGAGUCAGUCUGUGAGUAAAGACACAGGCUUGGGGAGCACUGUUCCAACCAAUGAUAAAACACCAUCCAACCUUGGCGAGACUCAGUCAGAAGGCAAAGAUGACCAAACAGAACAUCAGACAUUGGAGAUGUUAAAGGUUGGAGUCACAGCUCCAGAUGAGUGGCGUCCUGAGGGAAGUGGCAGCGUGAGCUCUGUGUCCAGGGUAGAGCAGUGUUGUUGGAGACUGGAGAGGCUUCUUGGGAGAAAUGCUGAGGUGGCAGGGAUGGGAAACGAGGAGGAUGACCUCACGAUGGACAGCAUCUGCACUGAGGACUUCUCAACACGCUUUAGAGAGGAAAUGCUGGUCCCGUCGGCCUCAGGUAUCCCUAAUGCAGAGUUUUGAUUCGGUCACCAUAGACACUGAUUUGGAGAGUGUGUGCUCUGAACAGGUUCAGCAGCACCUGAACUCUGCACUUAGCAACAGGACAGCCUUUCAUCUGAGCAGAGAAAAUGGAUACUGUACAGGACGAACCAACCAAAUUCAAAACAAUGUUCAAUCCUUCAGCUCUGAUGAUGAGAGAACUGUUGAGGAGACGAGUAGUGACGGUGCUGUGUCAAAGCUUGACUACAGAAGAAGGAGACAUUCAUCUGGCAGGAAGGGGAAGAGGAGGCGUUUGUACCAAAACAAAAGGAAUGACUCCUACAUUAGCACAAAGAAAGAUCGGGGCAAGAGCAGAACAGAUGAAGAUCAACUCAAAGAGCUGAGCAUGUCACUUCCUGAGCUUCAACGGCAAAAAACAGCCACACUUUAUACUCUGAAGAAGCUAAGAGAGGAAAUGGAUCAAGCUAAGAGCGAGCAUCACUCUCUCCAGCUCAGUGUGAAGGACAGCAGAGCACAGGCUCAGAACAUCACGUGUGAGCUCCAAAGACUGCAGGCCCAAAGGAACUUAUGCUUGAAGGAGGUCAGGGUUCUGCAGGAGCAACAGUGUGCAAGUCGCAGUGUGUCUGUUCUGGAGAGGGAAGAGAUGGACAGACUGCUGGAUAAUGCCAAGUCAGAACUGUUCUCAGAACAGAGGCGUUUCAGACACAAACUGGACUCUAUGCAUGAGAGGCUGGAUGAGGUGAGUCAGGAGCUGGAGCAGAGCGAGGAGGACUGCAGGGCUCUCCGACAGAAAUGCACUGAGCUGGAGGAGCAGCUGGCUGAUACAAUCAGAGAAAAAGAACAAAUAAAGCAGACUUCUCAGAAAGAUCUAGAGCAGCAGGUGAAGUGUUUUGGAGUGCUGGAGCGAAUCGUUGCUCAGAAGGAGCUGCUUUUGCAGGGAACCGAAGACGCAAAGGAAGGCCUUCUUCAGGAGCUCUGUUCACUGAAAGAGGAGCACAGCUUUCAGCUGAGAGAAAUGCAGAACAAGAAAGAGCAAGAGAUUGAGCAACUGACAUUACAGUUAACCAAAAACCACAAAGAGGAGCUUCAAAAGGUGCAUCAACAGGCAGAUGCUUUGAGAUCAGCUGCUCUCAGUGAACAAGCUCAGACCCACAAACAGAGCUUGGACUUCUUACACAACUGCAUCCAGAUGAAAGAUGAGGAGAUAAAGAGACUAAAAGAGGCUCUAGAGCAGCAUGAGGAGAAGAUGAGGAGGCAAGCAGAGGAACUCAAAAGAGAAACUCAGGAAAAGAUUCGAAAGGCUGUGAAACGAGAGGAAAGGAAAUGGGAGGAACAGAGAGAGAAGGCUCUCAAAGAGCAGCGUGGGUCUCUGGAGCAACAAAUAGAGGAGGCAGUGAAGAGAGGGAGAACAGAAGUGGAGAAGGAGAGAAGGAACGCACUGGCCUUACAGAGUAAAGUGACAGAGCUUCAUAAAGAGGCAGAGAAGGAGGUGGUGCGUCUGAAGCAAACUUUGCAGCGAUCUGAAAAGGAGCUUCAGGAGCUGAGGACAGCCCUCUCUGAGAAAGACCAAAAACACCAGAGAAGAACAGCCAGACUUGAGCAGCAGAGCCGGCGCUGGGCGCAGGACAUACACAGCGAGUGUGUUUGCUUGCAAGAGUUACUGGCUGUUGACAACAAGAACUCAUCAGACAGUCCUACAGUGAGUGAAACUCUUCAGACCCUGCAGACCCUCACAAAGGCCCUACAACAGCAUAUUAAUGAUCUAAAAGAUGAGCUCAACUCACAGAGAUGUGCUGCACUGCAACUCAGCCGAGAAAAGGAACAAGAGCUUCAUCUGCAGAAACAGCAGCUGAUGGAUGAAAAGGAAAGAGCGCUGGCUGCUCUAAAAGAGAAACUCAUACAGGAGCACAUUGAGGAAAUGAGCAGCAUAUCUCGAGCACAGCUGCACAUGAAGCAUGAUGACACAGACGAACUGUGUGUCCAUCUGCGCAGGCAGCUGCAGGCCAAAGAUGAUGAGCUCAGACAGUUGCAGAACAACAUGACACAGUGGAAAGACAAAACCACUGCAAGACUUGCACACAAAUUUGAGCUGGAGCUUAAAGCAGAGCUGGAGAGGAGGGUCCAAAAGCCCAGAGCAGAGCAGCAGAAGAGACUGGAAAGACUGGAGAAUGAGAUGAGACAUCUGACUGGGCAAUGCCAAGACUACAAGGAAUACCAGUUGGCCUCCACUGCUCUUCAGGGUGCUACAGACUUCCAAAACUCUCGAGUCACCAAAGACCCGACCUCAUAUAAACUGCUACAGCACCUCCAGAGUCGCAUUCGUCAGCUUCGAGCAGAGAGCCAAACCCGCUGCCCCAGCCCAGUGAAGUGGGACAGGGAUCCCACAGACCUGGGUGGGUCUUAUUUGGACACGAUUGCUCUAGCCCAGGACAGCUAUAGGACAGAGGAUCAUUUACCAGCGAAGACCGUCUCCAGUUAACAUUUACUUUCCAUUCUCUUGAAUUUAUUUGUCCAUUAGAUUGUUGAUUUUAUAGGAAAACCAUGUACAAGAAUAUAACUUCUUAAACCAUCUCUGUUGAGCUCAUGAUUAGCAAUUUUUUUGUAAUUAUGAUUGUAAUUGAAUAACACUCCAUAAAACAGACAAUUCAUGUUUUUGUAUGAAUGUUCUUUCUGCAUAAAUAAAAUGUCACAAGCACAGAAGUAUAAUGCCA